rnacentral:rRNA from 1 species
UUAGUGGCAGACGGGUGAGUAAUGCAUAGGAAUCUACCUAGUAGUAUGGGAUAGCCACUAGAAAUGGUGGGUAAUACUGUAUAAUCCCUGCGGGGGAAAGAUUUAUCGCUAUUAGAUGAGCCUAUGUCAGAUUAGCUAGUUGGUGGGGUAAUGGCCUACCAAGGCGGUGAUCUGUAGCUGGUCUGAGAGGAUGAUCAGCCACACUGGAACUGAGACACGGUCCAGACUCCUACGGGAGGCAGCAGUGGGGAAUAUUGGACAAUGGGCGCAAGCCUGAUCCAGCUAUGCCGCGUGAGUGAGGAAGGCCUUAGGGUUGUAAAACUCUUUCAGUAGGGAAGAUAAUGACGGUACCUACAGAAGAAGUCCCGGCAAACUCCGUGCCAGCAGCCGCGGUAAUACGGAGGGGGCAAGCGUUGUUCGGAA